rnacentral:lncRNA from 1 species
ACGGGGUUUCACCGUGUUAGCCAGGGUGGUCUGGAUCUCCUGACCUCAUGAUCCGCCCACCUCGGCCUCCCAAAGUGCUGGGAUUACAGGCGUGAGCCACCGCGCCUGGCCGUGAUUUUUAUCUAGAAAAAAAAAUGAGGCUCUUUCGGUGUCAGCCUUGACACUUUGCUUGACCUCUUUGUGCUAUUCUCACUGUCUCAGAGGCCGUGGGCCCUCAGAUGCUGUGGUUACGUCAAGCUCACUCUGCUCUGCAGCUGAGCUAUUUUACAUUAAGAAGCAGAUGGUGUGGAAGCCUGGCACAGGCCUUUCGGUCCAAACGGCACUCUUUGAUUCAGAACCUGCAGAAAAGAAAAUGGGAUGACAUUGGCUGAGUCUCUUAGAGGUACUCCUGAAACUCAGCUGGAGGAAGGGAGGUGCAGCUUUGGCUCAGCUCUUAACAGUGCAACAUCUAGUGCCUCUAUAGUUCUCUUGGACACAGAUGGCUGCUUUCGAAGAAGAAAGAAGUGGAAAGUGAUGGAGUUUCUAUGCUCCAGCUCUCUUUGCCUGCUGCCAUCCACGUAAGAUGUGACUUGCUCCUCUUUGCCUUCUGCCAUAAUUGUGAGCCCCCCUCAGCCAUGUGGAAUGAUGGAAAACAGAACAAGCCAUGGAGGCCCCAGGGAUCAGGCAGGGCCAAGAGGAUCUGAUGGCGGAAGGGGGAGCACAUCAACAAGACCUUACAAGGCAACUUGCAUGGAUGCUCUGAAGCAACUUUGAGGUCUCCUUGAUGAGGAAAGUUGGCUCAACCUGCUGUAGAGUAGGCCCACAGCCAAGCCAUUGAGAGACAAGUCCAUGGGAGACAAAUUAGCUCAUGCAGCUGAGAUGUCCUGGAGAUUUUCCACAGCACCACUUGGCCAGUGCCUAGACAAGAGGCCAUCUUUGAAGAAGUAAACAAGUACCAUACACUAAAGGGAUGACAGAACAACGAAACAAAAGAUUACAGCAAAGCUUUCUGCUUUCCUUUCUUGCUCUGAUACCCUCAAAAUUAUACUCUGUUCCUGGGAUUCCAGAGUCUUCUGCCACAACCAAGGCUUCCGAGGCGAUCCGGCAACAUCAGUCUUCAGCCGCUAAGCCAAGAAGAUCUGGGAAGGAGUCAAUCAGAGAGCCUUGGGCCAGAGUUCCAGGGGCUGUGGAAGUGGCUGCCAGGUGAGUUGAACAGUCCGAUUUUCAGUGGGGUCCUACACAGAUGGGACACAGCUUAGGAGGAAUCCUGGGCUGUGGGCAUUCCUUGGCCUAGUGGCCAGAUUUCUGGCACUUGUAGCAAGCUCCUGGGGGAGGAGGUUCUGGAGGAACCCCUGGCAGCUGCGGUUUGGGCGUUUGGAGUUCUUGUGUGCUGGAGAUGUGGCUGGGGUUUGUCUCACAGUGGAGGCAAGAAAUUGCAACUCAGAAAUACAUUGCUACUUGGCUGCCUCUACUCUAUUAUUGUAUAACUUGAAGGUGAGGUUAAUUAAGUCCUGUUGUGAGGUUUGAGGGCCGGAAUUUAAUUUUUGGAGUUUUAUUUAAUGUCAGGAGCGGAUUGGGUAAUAAAAUGUAUAUUGAGAAUAAGACGGCCUUUUGACAUUUUAGGGUCUUGGGCUGUAAAGCGUCUCAGGGUUGCUGCCGAACGAGCCAUGAACUGGGCUGGGUUUUUCAUAUUUGAUGAAAGAGCCUAAAUGCUAACUGAUUUGGGAGAGGUCGGAUAAAGAAAAAGAAGCAUUAACCUUGACUAUGCCUUUAGCUCCAGCCUCCUUUUUAAGAGGAAAUUGCUGGUCAGGUGGAGGAGGGCUAGUCGCGUCGCGGAACGAAACUAUAAGCCGGACUGGGUGUGAGGAGGGGAGGUGAUAAAAGGAUUAUAGGGUGGGGGAGCAGAGGCUGAGGAAGAAUUGGGACCUGGCUUGACCUGGCUUGGCCUGGCGAGGAGCAGCCUGGGGAGGAGGAGAGAGGUCAGAUGGGUCUGUAGAAAAGGAAGAUUAGAAAGACUCAGCGACGCUUGGGGUUGGGACUGAGAGGACAGGCGGGAGGGAAAGAAGGAGGAUUUGGGAUGAGUCACAUUGGGAACAGAGAGUACGGAGAGAACAAUGUGUAAAAGAAUGCCUGGACGUCAGGCACCUCAGACCAUUUGCCCAUUUUACGACAAGAAUUAUCGAGAUCUUGUGGGAUGGAAAAAUCGAAAGUGCCGUUCUGUGGCUAUUUUAGAGCCUUUGUCAAGUUUGUAUUGGGGCCAAGCGGUGUUGCAGAAUAAAAUAAGAUGCUUAGAUUUUAGGUCAGGCGAGAGUUGAAGAGGUUUUAAGUUCUUAAGAACACAGGCUAAGAGAGAAGAAGGAGGAAUGGAGGGUGGAAGGUUGCCCAUAGUGAAGGAGGCAAGUUUAAAGAGAAGGGUAGAGACACGGAGAAGGGGGUGGGGAGCAGCCCUGGGCUGCAACGUGGGUGAGCAGCCAAAGCAGGCGUCCUUGCAAUUGACUUGCCACCAAGGGAACAUGGGCGAAUGAUCAAGGAAGGCACCCCUGCGGAGAUCAGACACCAGUGGAACGUGGGUGAAUAAUCCAAGAGGCAUCUCGGCGAUGAUUAAACACCAAGGUAAGGCUGUCUUCCCGAGUCCGUGACCGGCGCCGGAGUUUUGGGUCCACAGAUAAAAUGUGUCUCCUUUGUCUCUACCCGAAAAUGAAAGGAACUGAAAUUAACAGAAGGGAGAGAUUGAAGUGUGGCGCCAAGCUUGAAAGGAGAAAGAGGUUGAGGGAUAGUGAGGGAGGUUGGAGAAGAGAGUAAAAAGAGGCCGCUUACUGGAUUUGAAAUUGGUGAGAUGUUCCUUGGGCUGGUCAGUCUGAGGACCUGAGGUUGUAGGUGGAUCUUUCUCAUGGAGCAAAGAGUAGGACAGGGGAUUGAUCUCCCAAGGGAGGUCCCCUGAUCCCAGUCACGGCACCAAAUUUCACUCGCGUCCGUGUGAAGAGACCACCAAACAGGAUUUGUGUGAGCAACAAGGCUGUUUAUUUCACCUGGAUGCAGGCGGGCUGAGUCUGAAAAGAGAGUCAGUGAAGGGAGAUAGGGGUGGUGCCGUUUUAUAGGAUUUGGGUAGGUAAAGGAAAAUUAGUCAAAGGGGGUUGUUCUCUGGCUGGCAGGAGUGGGAGGUCACAAGGUGCUCAGUAGGGGAGCUUUUGAGCCAGGAUGAGCCAGGAGAAGGAAUUUCACAAGAUAAUGUCAUCAGUUAAGGCAGGAACAG